UACAGAGGAGGCAAGCGUUGUUCGGAAUCACUGGGCUUAAAGCGCGUGUAGGCGGCUCGCCAAGUAUCUUGUGAAAUCCCCCGGCUCAACCGGGGAAUGGCUGGGUAUACUGUCGGGCUUGAGGUGGGUAGGGGUGCCUGGAACUCUAGGUGGAGCGGUGAAAUGCGUAGAUAUCUAGAGGAACGCCCGUGGCGAAAGCGGGGCACUGGGCCUUACCUGACGCUAAGACGCGAAAGCGUGGGGAGCAAACGGG
rnacentral:rRNA from 1 species